UGUGUGCUUGCUGUGGGUCGAUGGAAACGCGACUAAUGUCGUGGUGGUUUAGAGGCUUCGAUUAACACGCUUCAUUUAUAUGAGAUAUGUUCGCUAUAAGUUUUGAAGAGCCUGCCAACUGGCAUAUGAAAAUAACAUGAAAACUGAGACCCCUUGGCUUUAAUUCAAUACCCAUAAUGCACAACUUUCCAGCAGCAACCUUCGGAACUUUAAACAUGAUUAUGGAAAUUCCAUUAAAAGUUUAAUGGGCUCCCGGGUAAUGUUCGAAAAUCACGCACAUGCGAAACGCAAAAGCUACCAAAAGAGGGGCGGCGGUUACGCAGCGGGCGUGGCCAACGUGCAAGUGCAGCAAUUUCCAUUGAAAGCGGAUGCGGAAAUGGGACGUAAACAAAUACCGCCGCAUCACGCACAUCCGGUGCAACAAAAGUGGCAACAGCCAAAACAAAUUUAGAACUAAAUACGCUCGUGCAGCCAGCUAAAGUGCGAAUCUAGUGCACUUAUUUAAAGGCACGAGUGCAUUAAACAUUGCAUUAUAUAAAA